rnacentral:rRNA from 1 species
CCUACGGGCGGCUGCAGUGGGGAAUAUUGGACAAUGGGGGCAACCCUGAUCCAGCCAUGCCGCGUGUGUGAAGAAGGCCCUCGGGUUGUAAAGCACUUUCAGUGAGGAAGAACGCCUGGUGGUUAAUACCCAUCAGGAAAGACAUCACUCACAGAAGAAGCACCGGCUAACUCCGUGCCAACAGCCGCGGUAAUACGGAGGGUGCGAGCGUUAAUCGGAAUUACUGGGCGUAAAGCGCGCGUAGGUGGCUUGAUAAGCCGGUUGUGAAAGCCCCGGGCUCAACCUGGGAACGGCAUCCGGAACUGUCAAGCUAGAGUGCAGGAGAGGAAGGUAGAAUUCCCGGUGUAGCGGUGAAAUGCGUAGAGAUCGGGAGGAAUACCAGUGGCGAAGGCGGCCUUCUGGACUGACACUGACACUGAGGUGCGAAAGCGUGGGUAGCAAACAGGAUUAGAUACCCUUGUAGUC